rnacentral:miRNA from 1 species
UGUGAGUUGUUCCUCACCUGGA